rnacentral:lncRNA from 1 species
UGCGUCUUCCGCAAGAUGGCGGCCCCCGUGUCUGUUCAGGUGGAGUUCGGAGGCGGAGCAGAGCUCUUAUUUGACGGUGUAAAGAAGCACCAGGUGACCUUACCCAGUCAAGAGGAGCCUUGGGAUAUCCGAAACCUUCUCAUCUGGAUAAGGAAGAACCUGUUAAAGGAGCGGCCAGAGUUAUUUAUCCAGGGAGAUAGCGUAAGCUUCCCAUGCCCAUGUCCCAGUCCUUAGUGCUCAUCAACCAGCAUGACCUGGUGGAGUGAGCAUCAGAGGAGCUCUGUUCUAAACUCAGGCGACCAGGGAUUCUGGUACUAAUCAAUGAUGCUGACUGGGAGUUGCAGGGUGAAUUGGACUACCAAUUACAGGACCAAGACAGCAUCCUCUUCAUUUCCACACUACAUGGUGGUUAGAGCAUCUAUCCUCCUCCAUCCUUCAGUUCCUUCAGCUCCCAGGGACCUUCAGGGCAGAAAACAUCCAAAAUGGGGGAACAAUAGAGACAGAAAUCCUCCCCCCUCUCCUCCUUCCCCCACAGCCGGAGCAUGUGGGACAACAAGCUUGCCAUGACUUUGUCUUCAUGAAGAAGGACCAGCAGCAAAAGAGACCCAGGCAGUCCUGCUCUCCUGCCUCUUCCCCUUGCUGCAUUCUUCCCACUCCCUCUCCAGCCUUAGCAGCUUUCCCUCCGGGAAGGGAAAUGAGGCCAGGUACUAAAAAUGUGCUGCUUACAGCUCGUGUACUAGUGGAAGAAGCUACUACCACCUCCUUCCCCCAAAUGGGAGGGGGGCACAGCUUUGCCAAGAGACCUGCCCCAGAUUGCUCCCUUCUGUAAUCUGUGCCCCCAAGGGAGGUAGUAGCCCUUCUGCCCCCACUACUCUGCAGGCAAGUUUGUGAGCUCUGAACCUCUAUGUUCCCACCUCGUAUGGCACUGUUCCAGUAUUCCAAACUGUGUCAUCUUGAGCAAGUCAUUCAUCACCCUGAGUUUUAGUUUCCUGCUCUGUGAAAUUGCCUUUUGGCAAUUUCUAAGGACCCUUUCAAGCUCUAGAAUUCUGACUGAGAUUCCUUGCCUCAGUUUCCUCUCUCAGAAGCAAAGGGCUCCACCUGCUUCUUCUAGUGUCAUUACUGAACCACAGCUGGGGGCCCCUAUUCAGUGCUGCCUCUUCCUCCUCCUUCUGCCUGGAUGCCCCCAGCUGCUCCAACCUUGCUCCUCUGACUCCCCUAGCCCUUGACCUAGGCCUGCCCUAUAGUAUAGAGGCUACCAGAUGGACUCCCCCAGAGAUAAAAAACUGCCUGAAGACACCUGGGCUCUGUGCCUCACUGGGGAGGGCUUUGGGUCGCUUCCUCGUGCCUCAGUUUCCUCUCCAGUGCCUAGGAUUUUACCAUUGUGAACUGAGGUGGUGCCAGAAAACCAGGGCACAAGAAACUGCUUUGUGACAUAUUUGGGACCUCCAGCUUCUCGCCCCACAGCAUGCAGACCCAUCUGGAAGCCAACAUGGCGGUGCUUGUAACAGCCGGCAUUGGGC